GACGAACGCUGGCGGCGUGCUUAACACAUGCAAGUCGAACGGAAAGGCCCUGCUUUUGUGGGGUGCUCGAGUGGCGAACGGGUGAGUAACACGUGAGUAACCUGCCCUUGACUUUGGGAUAACUUCAGGAAACUGGGGCUAAUACCGGAUAGGAGCUCCUGCUGCAUGGUGGGGGUUGGAAAGUUUCGGCGGUUGGGGAUGGACUCGCGGCUUAUCAGCUUGUUGGUGGGGUAGUGGCUUACCAAGGCUUUGACGGGUAGCCGGCCUGAGAGGGUGACCGGCCACAUUGGGACUGAGAUACGGCCCAGACUCCCACGGGAGGCAGCAGUGGGGAAUAUUGCACAAUGGGCGGAAGCCUGAUGCAGCAACGCCGCGUGCGGGAUGACGGCCUUCGGGUUGUAAACCGCUUUCGCCUGUGACGAAGCGUGAGUGACGGUAAUGGGUAAAGAAGCACCGGCUAACUACGUGCCAGCAGCCGCGGUGAUACGUAGGGUGCGAGCGUUGUCCGGAUUUAUUGGGCGUAAAGGGCUCGUAGGUGGUUGAUCGCGUCGGAAGUGUAAUCUUGGGGCUUAACCCUGAGCGUGCUUUCGAUACGGGUUGACUUGAGGAAGGUAGGGGAGAAUGGAAUUCCUGGUGGAGCGGUGGAAUGCGCAGAUAUCAGGAGGAACACCAGUGGCGAAGGCGGUUCUCUGGGCCUUUCCUGACGCUGAGGAGCGAAAGCGUGGGGAGCGAACAGGCUUAGAUACCCUGGUAGUCCACGCUGUAAACGGUGGGUACUAGGUGUGGGGUCCAUUCCACGGGUUCCGUGCCGUAGCUAACGCUUUAAGUACCCCGCCUGGGGAGUACGGCCGCAAGGCUAAAACUCAAAGGAAUUGACGGGGCCCCGCACAAGCGGCGGAGCAUGCGGAUUAAUUCGAUGCAACGCGUAGAACCUUACCUGGGUUUGACAUGGAUCGGGAGUGCUCAGAGAUGGGUGUGCCUCUUUUGGGGUCGGUUCACAGGUGGUGCAUGCCUGUCGUCAGCUCGUGUCGUGAGAUGUUGGGUUAAGUCCCGCAACGAGCGCAACCCUUGUUCACUGUUGCCAGCACGUUAUGGUGGGGACUCAGUGGAGACCGCCGGGGUCAACUCGGAGGAAGGUGGGGAUGACGUCAAGUCCUCAUGCCCCUUAUGUCCAGGGCUUCACGCAUGCUACAAUGGCUGGUACAGAGAGUGGCGAGCCUGUGAGGGUGAGCGAAUCUCGGAAAGCCGGUCUCAGUUCGGAUUGGGGUCUGCAACUCGACCUCAUGAAGUCGGAGUCGCUAGUAAUCGCAGAUCAGCAACGCUGCGGUGAAUACGUUCCCGGGGCU
rnacentral:rRNA from 1 species